rnacentral:rRNA from 1 species
GACGAACGCUGGCGGCGUGCUUAACACAUGCAAGUCGAACGGUGAAGCUCCAGCUUGCUGGAGUGGAUCAGUGGCGAACGGGUGAGUAACACGUGAGCAACCUGCCCCUGACUCUGGAAUAAGCGCUGGAAACGGCGUCUAAUACUGGAUACGAGAAGGGUCCGCAUGGGCACUUUCUGGAAAGUUUUUCGGUUGGGGAUGGGCUCGCGGCCUACCAGCUUGUUGGUGAGGUAAUGGCUCACCAAGGCGACGACGGGUAGCCGGCCUGAGAGGGCGACCGGCCACACUGGGACUGAGACACGGCCCAGACUCCUACGGGAGGCAGCAGUGGGGAAUAUUGCACAAUGGGCGAAAGCCUGAUGCAGCGACGCCGCGUGAGGGAUGACGGCCUUCGGGUUGUAAACCUCUUUCAGCAGGGAAGAAGCGAAAGUGACGGUACCUGCAGAAGAAGCACCGGCUAACUACGUG